rnacentral:tmRNA from 1 species
GGGGGCGAUUUUGGUUUCGACGGGGAUGUAAUGAGGAGUGUAAAGCGUGUGGUAGAUGCCAGCUAUCUAAAAACUGACAAAGCGAAUAAACGCAAACAACAAUGAAACUCUUGCUUAUGCUGCCUAAUUAGCGGUAUAACAAGGACUUGGUCGAACAAUCGACCUGCUCAUCUAAUGACUCACUAUCUUUAGAAUUAAGUAUCAGUUAAGUGAAACUUCUACAAUUAGUUAGUGCUUUAGAUUGUAGGAAAAUAUAAAGUGCUGGAAGAUUGCACCUGUUUAUCGGUUAGUAAUUUUCGAGAUAAAAAGAUAAACUGCACACGGAGAAAAGCUUUUUAGAACAUUUUCGGACGAGGGUUCAAACCCCUCCGUCUCCACCA